UAGAUACCCUUUUAUUCUAAUAGAAAUUUUUAAACUUGAGUAGUAAAAAGUUAUGAUCUUUAAACUUAAAGGAUUUGGCGGUAUUUUAGUCUAGUUAGAGGAGCCUGUUCUAUAAACGAUAAACCACGAAAAAUCUUACUUUCUUUUGUUAAUUACAGUUUGUAUACCGUCAUUAUUAGGUAAUUUUAAUAAAUAUUUACUAUAAUAUAAAGUUUUAAUAUAUUAGAUCAAGGUGCAGCUAAUAGGAAAGUAAGUAAAUGGGCUACAAUUUAUUUGGUAAAAAUGGAUAUUUAUUUGAAAGGAUAGGUUGAAGGUGGAUUUAAUAGUAAUUUUAUAAAUAAUAUGGUAAGAUGAUAAUAGCUCUAGAAUAUGUACACAUCGCCC
rnacentral:rRNA from 1 species